UUUAUUUAUUUUAUUUUUCGUGAUACGUAUCUAUUUACAAAUUCCAAGAGAAUCUAUAACGAAUGUAUGUGGUCGAAGCAAUAAAUCUUUCAAGAGUUUUUUGGUAAUUUUUGUUUGUUAUUUUCCUUUUUUUUUACUUUUAAAAUGUAAAUACCUACGAAAAUAUUACGAAGAGAACCCGAUGCCAUUAAUAAUGUGUUAAAAACAUGCGGAAAAUUUUCUGUAGAAAAAUAAAAAAAAUCUGGAGUUUAGGUAAUAAACAGUGUCCUGUCGUCGCACAUGAUACGAGUGUCCCGGCCGCGCUUGCUGACCGCGCGGCCGUUGCUCGUCCGGUGUCCGGCGCCGGUACCCGUACUGUCGCCGCGGACACAGCGCCCAUCGCUGCUAGAGUCACGUCCGGUGCUUCGAGCGAGUGACGCCGCUGCCCGCCGCCGCUGCUGCAUCGGCUGCGUCGCCAAACUGGUCGACUCUUUCCUUACUAAUUACUCAUAAGUAGGUAUAAGUGAUCUUGUUCAUAUUAUAAGGCGAUUUAAUAGUCCGUGCAAACAUUUAGAAUAUUUUUUGUCGUGUUUACUUUUUUUUUUCAAUUACUUUUUUAUAAUAUUAUGAACAUUCGAUCAUUUAUUAAAGUAAGGUUUAGGUACUAGGAAAAAUGGUCAGUGAAAGGCCUGACGUGAAGUUCACGAAAAUGUUGAAUGUUAAUUGAUAGCCUGAACUGGAGCAGGUAAUCAAACAUGAACCUGCUUAUCUUUUAUACUACUAAUAAUCAACGGAAGAUGUAAGACGCCAGAAUAAGUACCUACCUACCAAUUUUUUAGGUUCCAAAUUCAGUUGGAAUAAAAAUCUAACUAUUUUUUUUUAUAAAUAUACCUAGUUUUGGCAAGAAAUACGAAUGUCCACUUUUUGAUUUAUUUGUCACCGACUUUUUGUAAGUAGGUACCUUGAUAACAUUUUAACUCAAUAGGUAGGUACUUAAAAUAUCACUUGCAUAUAAAAAUGGUAAAAUGCAAGAAAAAGUUUCAUAAAUUUUGUAGACAAAAGACGUAAUGUAAACACGACUUAAAUCGUCUAAAUGUGGUUUCUCAUGAAUACAGAGACAACGUAUGGACUUACCAUGAACUAUAUUUCCAUAGUUGUUUACAAUUACAUAUACACCUAAUAAAUAGUCCAGUUAGAGUGA